rnacentral:rRNA from 1 species
AGAGUUUGAUCAUGGCUCAGGACGAACGCUGGCGGCGUGCCUAAAACAUGCAAGUCGAACGAGAGCUUCGGCUCUAGCGGCGAACGGCGGAGUAAUACGUGAACAACGUGCCCCUAAGUCCGGGACAAACGCAGAAAUGCCAUAAAUACCGGAUGUGGUCAGGAUGAUGCAUAUCGAUCUGAUUAAAGGUUUUUCGCUUAGGGAGCGGUUCACGGCCUAUCAGCUAGUUGGCGGGGUAAAAGCCCACCAAGGCGACGACGGGUAGGGGGUCUAAGAGGAUGAUCCCCCCGAGUGGGACUGAGACACGGCCCACACACCUACGGGUGGCAGCAGUUGGGAAUCUUGCACAAUGGGGGAAACCCUGAUGCAGCGACGCCGCGUGGAGGACGAAGGGUCUAGGCCUGUAAACUCCUUUUACCAGGAAAGACUUAGGACGGUACCUGGUGAAUAAGCCCCGGCUAACUUCGUGCCAGCAGCCGCGGUAAGACGUAGGGGGCAAGCGUUGUCCGGAUUUACUGGGCGUAAAGGGCGCGUAGGCGGCCUGUUAAGUGUGAAGUGAAAUCUCCAGAGCUCAACUCGGAAACGGCUUCGCAUACUGGCAGGCUUGAGGAAUGCAGAGGUGAAUAGAAUUCCUGGUGUAGCGGUGAAAUGCGUAGAUAUCAGGAGGAAUACCCAUGGCGAAGGC